rnacentral:misc_RNA from 1 species
AUUCCGUAGGUGAACCUGCGGAAGGAUCAUUAGCGAGUUAGGGUCUUCCAGGCCCGACCUCCCAACCCUAUGUUUAUUGAACCUCUGUUGCUUCGGCGGGCCCGUCUCACGGCCGCCGGGGGAGUCGCCGCGAGGCACCCUCUGGCCAGCGUCCGCCGAUGGCCAACCUCAAAACUCUGAAUGAAUCGUGUCAUGAUGUCUAAGUCUAUGAUUAAAUUAAAGCAAAACUUUCAACAACGGAUCUCUUGGUUCUG